rnacentral:rRNA from 1 species
CCGUAAACGAUGAGUGCUAAGUGUUAGGGGGUUUCCGCCCCUUAGUGCUGCAGCUAACGCAUUAAGCACUCCGCCUGGGGAGUACGACCGCAAGGUUGAAACUCAAAGGAAUUGACGGGGGCCCGCACAAGCGGUGGAGCAUGUGGUUUAAUUCGAAGCAACGCGAAGAACCUUACCAGGUCUUGACAUCCUUUGACCACUCUGGAGACAGAGCUUUCCCUUCGGGGACAAAGUGACAGGUGGUGCAUGGUUGUCGUCAGCUCGUGUCGUGAGAUGUUGGGUUAAGUCCCGCAACGAGCGCAACCCUUGAUUUUAGUUGCCAGCAUUUAGUUGGGCACUCUAAAGUGACUGCCGGUGCAAGCCGGAGGAAGGUGGGGAUGACGUCAAAUCAUCAUGCCCCUUAUGACCUGGGCUACACACGUGCUACAAUGGAUAGUACAAAGGGUCGCGAAGCCGCGAGGUGGAGCUAAUCCCAUAAAACUAUUCUCAGUUCGGAUUGUAGGCUGCAACUCGCCUACAUGAAGCCGGAAUCGCUAGUAAUCGUGGAUCAGCAUGCCACGGUGAAUACGUUCCCGGGCCUUGUACACACCGCCCGUCACACCACGAGAGUUUGUAACACCCGAAGUCGGUAGGGUAACCUUUAUGGAGCCAGCCGCCGAAGGUGGGACAGAUAAUUGGGGUGAAGUCGUAACAAGGUAGCCGUAUCGGAAGGUGCGGCUGG